rnacentral:tRNA from 1 species
AAUAGGAUGGCUGAGAAAUUAAGCAGGAGUUUGUAGCCCUCCCCACGGGAUCCCCUCCUAUUA